rnacentral:rRNA from 1 species
GAGGUUAAGCGACUAAGCGUACACGGUGGAUGCCCUGGCAGUCAGAGGCGAUGAAGGGCGUGCUAAUCUGCGAUAAGCGCCGGUAAGGUGAUAUGAACCGUUAUAACCGGCGAUACCCGAAUGGGGAAACCCAGUGUGAUUCGUCACACUAUCAUUAACUGAAUCCAUAGGUUAAUGAGGCGAACCGGGGGAACUGAAACAUCUAAGUACCCCGAGGAAAAGAAAUCAACCGAGAUUCCCCCAGUAGCGGCGAGCGAACGGGGAGGAGCCCAGAGCCUGAAUCAGCAUGUGUGUUAGUGGAAGCGUCUGGAAAGGCGCGCGAUACAGGGUGACAGCCCCGUACACAAAAGCGCAUGUGCUGUGAGCUCGAUGAGUAGGGCGGGACACGUGGUAUCCUGUCUGAAUAUGGGGGGACCAUCCUCCAAGGCUAAAUACUCCUGACUGACCGAUAGUGAACCAGUACCGUGAGGGAAAGGCGAAAAGAACCCCGGCGAGGGGAGUGAAAAAGAACCUGAAACCGUGUACGUACAAGCAGUGGGAGCACCCUUUGGGUGUGACUGCGUACCUUUUGUAUAAUGGG